GCGGGCGGGGCGGGGGCACGGGGGGCCUACGGGAGGCAGCAGUGGGGAAUCUUGGACAAUGGGCGCAAGCCUGAUCCAGCCAUGCCGCGUGAGUGAUGAAGGCCCUAGGGUCGUAAAGCUCUUUCGCCUGUGAUGAUAAUGACAGUAGCAGGUAAAGAAACCCCGGCUAACUCCGUGCCAGCAGCCGCGGUAAUACGGAGGGGGUUAGCGUUGUUCGGAAUUACUGGGCGUAAAGCGCGCGUAGGCGGAUUGGAAAGUUGGGGGUGAAAUCCCGGGGCUCAACCCCGGAACUGCCUCCAAAACUCCCAGUCUUGAGUUCGAGAGAGGUGAGUGGAAUUCCGAGUGUAGAGGUGAAAUUCGUAGAUAUUCGGAGGAACACCAGUGGCGAAGGCGGCUCACUGGCUCGAUACUGACGCUGAGGUGCGAAAGUGUGGGUUCCUCCUCUCAGGAUUAGUGGGAACCUGGUAGUCCACACCGUAAACGAGAUAUUCUCCCGUUGUCGGAGGGUGGAGAAUCA
rnacentral:rRNA from 1 species